rnacentral:rRNA from 1 species
UACAGAGGGUGCGAGCGUUGUCCGGAAUCACUGGGCGUAAAGGGCGCGUAGGUGGCGGCAUAAGGCCGUGGUGAAAGUCUGGGGCUCAACCCCAGAUCGGCCAUGGCGACUGUGUCGCUUGGGCACCGUAGAGGCAGAUGGAAUUCCGGGUGUAGCGGUGGAAUGCGUAGAGAUCCGGAAGAACACCAGUGGCGAAGGCGACUCUUUGGCCUGUAACUGACGCUGAGGCGCGAAAGCGUGGGGAGCAAACAGG